rnacentral:lncRNA from 1 species
UGUCCCUCUUGACCACAUCUAUAACAUCCUGUCAUGCCAACAAGACAAACUCCCUUAUGAAAUCUUCCACACCUCAAACAUUUUGGUCUAUCUAUACCAGAACUCGAAUCAACACCACCACCAGAACUAAGUUCUUUCCUAUUCCAAUAUUCUCUUUUCUUUUUCCCUUGAAGACCCCUAACCUUUUUCUUUUUAACUUUCCCCCACUUUGCUCCUUUCCAGGUAGCUGUACUCCAAGUGGAAGGAUCAUUUUCUCCUAUACCUGACAUUUUGGUAUCCUUGGUCUGAGCAUCAUCUAAAGACUCGUCAUCC